rnacentral:rRNA from 1 species
UACGGAAGGUCCAGGCGUUAUCCGGAUUUAUUGGGUUUAAAGGGAGCGCAGGCGGACCUUUAAGUCAGCUGUGAAAUACGGCGGCUCAACCGUCGAACUGCAGUUGAUACUGGAGGUCUUGAGUGCACACAGGGAUACUGGAAUUCAUGGUGUAGCGGUGAAAUGCUCAGAUAUCAUGAAGAACUCCGAUCGCGAAGGCAGGUGUCCGGGGUGCAACUGACGCUGAGGCUCGAAAGUGCGGGUAUCAAACAGG